rnacentral:rRNA from 1 species
GACGAACGCUGGCGGCGUGCUUAACACAUGCGAGUCGAACGGAAAGGCCCUGCUUUUGUGGGGUGCUCGAGUGGCGAACGGGUGAGUAACACGUGAGUAACCUGCCCUUGACUUUGGGAUAACUUCAGGAAACUGGGGCUAAUACCGGAUAGGAGCUCCUGCUGCAUGGUGGGGGUUGGAAAGUUUCGGCGGUUGGGGAUGGACUCGCGGCUUAUCAGCUUGUUGGUGGGGUAGUGGCUUACCAAGGCUUUGACGGGUAGCCGGCCUGAGAGGGUGACCGGCCACAUUGGGACUGAGAUACGGCCCAGACUCCUACGGGAGGCAGCAGUGGGGAAUAUUGCACAAUGGGCGGAAGCCUGAUGCGGCAACGCCGCGUGCGGGAUGACGGCCUUCGGGUUGUAAACCGCUUUCGCCUGUGACGAAGCGUGAGUGACGGUAAUGGGUAAAGAAGCACCGGCUAACUACGUG